rnacentral:rRNA from 1 species
GACGUAGGGUCCAAGCGUUGUCCGGAUUUACUGGGCGUAAAGGGCGCGUAGGCGGCUCAUGAAGGCUGUGGUGAAAGUCCGGGGCUCAACCUCGGAUCGGCCGUGGCGACUCGUGGGCUGGAGCACUGUAGAGGCGGGUGGAAUUCCGGGUGUAGCGGUGGAAUGCGUAGAGAUCCGGAAGAACACCGGUGGCGAAGGCGGUCUGCUGGGCAGUUGCUGACACUGAGGCGCGACAGCGUGGGGAGCAAACAGG